rnacentral:rRNA from 1 species
UACGUAGGGUGCAAGCGUUGUCCGGAAUUAUUGGGCGUAAAGAGCUCGUAGGCGGUCUGUCGCGUCUGCUGUGAAAACUCAGGGCUUAACCCUGAGCUUGCAGUGGGUACGGGCAGACUAGAGUGCGGUAGGGGGAGACUGGAAUUCCUGGUGUAGCGGUGAAAUGCGCAGAUAUCAGGAGGAACACCGGUGGCGAAGGCGGGUCUCUGGGCCGUAACUGACGCUGGAGGAGCGAAAGCAUGGGGAGC